CCAUCCUCCUGCCUCCGCCUCCCAGAGUCUUGGGAUUUACAGGCCGAACUGGCUGUUGAAGUCAGGAGAGGAGCCGAGCAGCAGGCCGAUGGUGGCUAGGAGGGACACGGCCAGGCUCCACAGCAGGGGCCUGUUCUCGGGCAGGCUCUCCAUGAAGGGUGGGCCCUGCGGGGAUGCGGGCAAUGGCUGUGGGUGGCCUGGACAUGAGGGUGCGUGCGGGGUGGGCCCGGUUCGGGGCUGGGCGGCCUCACCUUGUAGUUGAUGGCGAAGGUGGCCAUCUGCAUGGCCAUGGCCAUGAUGUACACAGUGCUGUUGACCAGGCUGGGCUCGAACUCCUUGUAGAGGUCUACAAACUGCUCCUGCCUGUGGGACGCACCAGGUCAGGUCCCUACUGUCCCCACGCCUGUCCCUGCGCCCAGGUGACCCUGGGCUCCCGUCAGCUUCUGUGCACAGGCCCUGUUGCCCACUGCUGCCCACCACUGCCCACCAGGGCGUCACUCACUUCUCGGGACUGCGGGCCUGGGCCUCCCGGUACAGGUAGACGAGGCUCAGGAAAUGCACGGCAAACUGCAGCAUCACGGUGAGGAUGGUGUACAGGUUGAAGAUGUUGGGCAGGGGCCGCUCUCGGGACAGGGUCUUAAGGGGCUGCAGCGGCAGGGCCGGGGUCAGGGCCCACUGGCCUCCAGCAGUGAUGUCACUAAACCCCAGGAGCGGGGCGGGAGCUGCUGCCCUGGGCCCCAGUGUCUAUACUCCCUGUGGCAGCCCAGCUUUGCUUUGUUUUCUUAAGGGGAUGGGAACUCAGGGCCUCAGAGUUACACAGGGUCUCACCAACUUGCCCAGGCUGGCCUGGAAUGCUUUACCCUCCUGCCUCAGCCUCCUGAGUAGGCCUGCAGACCCACCUUGUGUGGUGUGGGUCUCAUGGCACUGCACACCCUGAGCACUCUUGGGGAUCACUCCCCAUCUGUCCCUUCCUUGCCUGCAGGGCUCUGAGGCUCCCCAAGCUGUGCCAGCCCUGACUGGACCCCCACAUCUGGGCUCUGGGCCCCACCUGUCCCUGUGGAUGACAGGUCCCACCCACAGACCACACGAGCCAGGGCCCAUGCCGCUGGGUGCCCACCUUGGAGCGGGAGAUGAAGAGGAAGCAGCCGGCCAGCAGCAGCCCCUGCAGUGUGGCCUGGAAGUCGCUGAACUUGACACCCUCCAGGUAGAGGACGCUCUGGCUGUAGGCCAGGAUGAGGGCGUUGAGCGCCAGGAUCUUGAACAUCUGCAGCGUGGUCACCAGAGUGCAGCGGCCUUGCUUGAUCACGUGGCAGACUGGGGCGACAGUGGGGAGUGUGGGAGCGGCCGUCGGGCGCGGGGCGCGGGGCGGAGGGCGGCGAGGGGCACUCACUGCACUGGAUGGACGAGAGCUUGGAGGUGAAGGGCGCGGCGAUGCUGGCGUCACCCAGCUUCACGAUGGGCGUGCUCUCGUCCUCCAGGUCGCGCAGCACCUGGCUCAGGCGGUCCUGCGGGCAGAGCAGGGUCAGCCUGACGGAGGCAGAGAGGUGCCACCAUCCCAUGCCUGCCCGACUCACCCUCUGUGAGGCUGGCUGCUCCUCGAGGGGUGGGAGCCCUGACCUCUGCCUGGCCGUCCUGGAGCUGCCCCUGCUGCCGCUGUUGCUCAGGACAGGGCUGUCCCGGGCGGGCCGCCGCCGCCGCUCCACGAGCCGCUCAGGGGCAUUGGCCAGCAGCGCCACCCCUAGAGGGACGGGCGGGGCAGCGUGCAGGCUCAGCAAGGUCGCAGCCGCUCCCUGAGCCCCAGCUCGGCCCAACCUCCCUGCCGCCGACCUUUCCAAAGGAGCCCAGAUGGGCAGUGCCCAGAGUGCUGUGCACCAGCUACUGAGGAAAGCAGGAGAUACACAAGGCGCAACACACCAAACGAGAAGCCCAACAGUCGGGGUUAAAGGUAUGCUGGCUUCCAGAGACUGACGGCUCCGAGCCUAAGUCUAGGAGGCAGGAAAGGCUUCACUAAUGCUCCCGCAAACACAGCAGCCAAUGCUGGAAACGCACAAAAACAGGUCUUUGCGAGCAGCGCGUGGCCGGGGUGCUCCCGGGGAUGGAUGAGAGGGGCCCUGGCACCGAGGGCAGAGCGGCCCUUCCAUGUUACAUUUUCAGCUGGUCUUGCUACAUCUCCCAGAUGGGACGCGAAUGUGUGAUCCUCCUGCCUCAGCCUAAGUGCUGGGUCGCAGGUGUGGUGCUGUGUGAGGCCUCCUGACCACAGCCCCAGGCCGCGAACCACGGGCCGCGGGCUCAGAUGCCGGGUUUCCGAGGCCACCUCUCCCGAGACACUUGCGUCCCUCUGUGACUCUGCAGCCCUCUGAGCCCCCUCCCGUCCCCUGCACUCCUUGCUCACAGGAACUGCUGCCCCCACAACUGUCCCUGCGCCACUAGAGCCACGUCUGUGCUCGGGCAGCGACGUCCCCGUGCGGCUCACCCACGUCAGCAUGCUUGAGGGCGCCCACGUCGUUGGUGCCAUCUCCGCACAUGAGCGUCACGUAGCCCAGUUCCUUCAGGCUGGUGAUGACGAACUCCUGUGGGCAGAUGGGCUGAAUGGGGACCUGUGCCCGUCCCAGGCCCCAGGCCCCAGGCCCCGCCUGGCUCCACACGCACCUUCUGCUUGGGGGCCACACGGGCGAACACCUGCACGUGGGGAAUGAGGUGCAGCAGCUGCUGGGGGUCGCUGGCCUGCAGGUGGGCCAGGCCGUCGCCCGUGAGGCAUAGGGCGUGUUCCCGCGCCAGUGCCUUGGGCGAGCCAGGGGCCAGGGGCAGUGCAAUGCUGCCGUCGAUGGAGUGCCAUGUGCACGGACCACCUGGGGACAGCACUGGGUCAUGGACAGCUGCUGGCUGCUGUCCUGUGCACUGGCUGCUUGGUAACACCCUCCUGCAUGGACUGCAGCCCUGCCAGUGCCCGCCCUGCUCCAGGCACCCACAGAACCCACAGGCACAGCUGAGGCACCGAAGCUAGUGCCUGACACCUCGUGCAAGGUACGUGUGUCACUGGCCCCUCUCUGUAGCUUUUUUUUCCCUUCUGGUACUGGGAAUCAAACUCAGGACCUUGCACUUGCCAGGCAGGUGCAGCGCCACUGAGCUACAUCCCUGGCCUGACACUGGCCCCUCUCUGAUCAGUCCCCACCUGUCACCUGCCUGACACCCUGCUCUCUCUACUGCUAGUGCUCCCUAGUCAUCCACUUCCUCUUCCUCUUUCCUUCCUCCAGGCUGCCUGGCAGGAGGGACGCCAGCCUCCUUCGGCUCUGGUCCUGGCUGUUUAGCUGCAUUGGCUCUGCCUGCUGGUCCCCAGCUGGGAGGCUGCAAAUGCCACCCUGGCCGGGUCCUCCUUGCACCUCCAUCCCACCUGGCCCUGUAAACAUUUGCCACCUGCAGCCCAGGAUGCCCCGUUUUGUGUCCCUGCUCAGGACCCCCACUGCCAGGUCCUGCAUGGAAUGGAGCCCUGCCACAGUAACAGCUAGUGCCCGGGGAAGGCGGGUUCCCGCCUGCAGCCUGCUUCUGUCCACAGAGCAGGGCCCCACUGCGGACUCAGAGCUGCUUCCUGCCUGGGUGUGGGCGAGACAGGCUGUCCAGGGCAGCUUGGAAUGUGUGUGGGGCAUGCUGGGGAGCCACACAGGGUGCUUGGCAGAGGUGCUGCCGUCGGUGCUGAAGGAGUGGAGUGCCGGGCACCCUGCUGGGCCCAGGAGCCAGUGUGGUUGGAGCAGUGCUGCCAAGGAUGGGCAGGGACCCCAGGCUGGCAUGACGACUGGCGUCCUGACACCACAGAUCGGGAGCCAGUGACCCACAUCUGAGGGGCAGGGGGUGAGGCCGGCCCGUGGGCAGGAGCUGUCACUGGAGCAGUACCCAGCACCCCUCCUCCCCACCCUGCAGGGCUCACCCUUCUCUGAGGGGGGGUGCAGGAUGAGCGUGUGGGCCUUCUCAAUGAAGCGCAGCUCCUGGGCCACGUGGCAGGCGGUGAGCGGGUUGUCCCCCGUGAUCAUGACCACCUUGGGGACAGGGAUGGGGCUCAGCAGGGCAGACCCAGAGCCACCCCGACCCAGGGUGCCCGAUGCACACAGCACGGGGGCUGUGGCCCCGAGAGCCCACACUGCCUAUUCUUCCCUAGCCCCAGCCUCGGUUCUCUCUGGCAGGAGGUGGUCCAGGGUGCUGGGUGACAGGCCCCGGCUCCUGGGAUGCUGGAGGACCUGUGGAGGUGACAUAGCAGGAGCCUGUACUAUGGGUCCCCACCAUUCCCUGCCCCAGGGAGCGAGCACUUCUGCUACGACUGGCCCGGCUGCGACUUGUAGUCUCCUCACUGUCCAGAGCACGAGGCUGGCACUGUCCCCGGCUGCCCCUUCCUGCUCGGGCCUGUACCCGAUGUGAUGCAUUCUGGAUCUCCCGGAUCACGGCCUUGGAGUCGGCCUUCAGGGGGCAGGAGACCACAAUGAAGCCGACGAACUUUAGGCUGCACUCCAGGGCCUCCCGUUUGACCUCCCGGGCCUGUGAACAGACGGGCGCCUCAGCGCACGUCCCUCCUCCCGCCAGACCCUGCUCUGCACCCCCAUGGGUCAGGAGGGAGAGAGGCAGCAGGGACAAUGUGGCAAAAGCCCCAGGUGCAGGGGGUCACGUGGUUCCAGGGAGACAGCGUCCAGUCUACGGCCGUCAGCAUGGCCUUCUCCAGGGGGUCACCCACCAGGGUGCCGUCGUCCAGCUGCAUGAGGGAGUGGCAUGAGGCCAGGGCCCGGUGCGUCUCCACAGGGAUGCUGGACACGGGGGUCACCUCCUUUCCGUCCCUGCAAGGACGCGGAGCUGUGGGCACAGGCAGGGGCGGCCAGGUGGCGCUGCGCCUCACCCUGGGCAGCACUCUGGGAAGUACUUUACUGGUUCCCAAACACGGCUUGGGAGGAAUUGGGUCCCCGAGCCCCGCGCACUGCACGUGGGCGCCACCGCUGGUGCGGACUGGAGGCCAGGCCUGAAAUGAGGGAAAUCCCGGGGGCAGGGCCUCUGACCAGUCUUUACCCGUGCGCUCGAGCUGGGGUCACCGAACCCGGAUCCCCUCUGCCGGGCACCUCCGAGCCCAGGCUCCCUGUCACUCACCUCAGCCCCGCCACGCCACGCACCACCAGGCUGUCACUGGUCAAAGUCCCCGUCUUGUCAAAGCAGCACACCUCGACCUUGCCGGCGAAGGGGAUCCGGAAGGGCUCCGUACAGUACAUAUCUGGGGGUGGGGGCGGCAUCAGGGGUUCAGCCCCGUCUGAGCAUGCUCCGCCCCCCAGCCCCGCCGUCACUCACAGAGCUUGGCCAGGGCGAUGAGAGAGGUGUUGACAGCCAGGGAGAGCUCGAUGGGCAGCUCAGGGGGCACGACCGAGGUGAGGAUGAGGGUGCACUCCAGGAAGAGCUUGUAGCGGUUCCGGCUGGGGUCCUUGGUGCCUGCAGAGACAGGUCUGCUGGGCUGGGGUGGUGGGGGACACUGGAACAGGGCGGGGGCCCCGGCACUUACCCUCGAUCCACACAUAGGCAGCUGCUGCUAUGGCAAAGACCAGGAGGAAGAGGAUGAAGAUGAAGGUCUCCAGGUUGUUGGCGGUCACUCUCUUGACCCCAAAGAGGAUUGUGCGCAGCAGUUUACCCUGGAGGGAGAGGGACAGAGGCCUUUCCUGGGACAGGCCUGUGGAGAUGGCGGCCUCACUUCCUGAGAUCACCAAGGCUGGAUUCUUUCUAGAAAAGAGCAACGCCUGCCUCAGCCCCGUGAACCACGGACCUCCCCCGCCCCCCCCGCCCAUGGCUGCACCUCAGCCAGGAGUGAAGAAGUGGGUACUUGAGAUCGGGGUGGAAGCCGAGACAGGAAAAGAGAGGCGAGCGCUCCAGGAGGCCUGGGCAGCGCCCCGCCAGGCAGCGCCCCCACUCUGCUCAAACACUGUUUACUGGAGCAACCACAACCGGGUGAGGAGAGCCAGCCCCCUGGCCGGGCUCCCCAGAACCUCAGGCUCAGAGUGAGCCGGGUCCUGGGCUCCCUCCUGUACCCCAGCCCUGGCCUUGGUACAGGCCAGUGCUGUUAGGGCAAAUCCAGGGCCGGAGGGUCUGGGGACCGAGAUGGCCAAUGCCCUAUGUGUCCACCGCCAUCCCAGAGCCCACCAGGGGCGGCCAAGGGCUGCACCUGGGAGGUGUUGAAUCCGGUCCGCAGGACGUAGGCCACACACCCAUUGUCAACCGCUGGGGAGAGAAAGCGCUGGUGUCACCCUCGUCACCGCGUUCCAGAGCCCAUGCAAAGAGCAGCUAGCUUCGGUCUGCCAACACCCCACGGUGUCUGGAUGUGCCCGAGACGCCCGUGCUCUCAACUCCAGGCCACAUUAGUGGCGGUUCCCCCUCCACAGCACUGGCUCGGGUCCUCCGUCCCCACCAGUGCUGCCGGGGGAAGGUCCCACCACACCUUCAUCUGCGGCACUGACUCCCCGGUGAGCAUGGCCUCGUCCACGAUGCAGCGGCCACGCAGCAGCAGAACAUCGCAUGGCACCAGGUUCUCCUGUGGGGAGCGGCCUGCAGGCGGGGCAGCAUGGUUGGCCAGAGGCCAGGGCAGCGGCCCCCCACCCGGGGCGCAGAGUGGGCCUCACCGAUGGACACGAUGUCCCCAGGCACAAUCUCAUCGCUGGCGAUGGGCCUCCACUUGCGACUCCGGUAGACCUGGGUGGGCGGGGUAGCACCAGUGUGGGUGUCCGUGCUGCACCCACCCCAGGCCCCAGCAGCACCCUAACCUGCACCUGGAUCAUGUGGGGCUUGUUGCCCAUCUUGCGGAUCUCAGACAUGUUCCGCAUCUGCUGCUGCACCAGGGAUGCCUCGAAAGCCACCAGCAUGGACAGCGUGAAGACGCUGUAGUACCAGUACUCGUCCAGGCACCAGAGCCCCACGCAGAACACCUGCGGGAUGGGAUGGGACACUCGCUGGUCUGUCCCUGCCCCUGCCCUGGCCCAGAAGCCACGUGCAUGAAGCCCAAGGACACAGGCAACAGCCGUUCUGGGUUUGGAGGUGGCAGAUAGGCUUGCUCAGGCUUUGACAGCCCAAAGGGAGGGGACAAUGGACCAAGCUGCCACUUUACCUGGAACACGAAGAAGGGGGCGGUGGCCCUCUCCUUGAAAAGCUCAGAGAAGUCGGGCACCACCAUCUCAGCCCUGCAAGAGAUCAAUGUACAGCCUGUUCCCGGAGGAUCCGCCCCAACACCUCUGCCUGGGGACACUGCAGGGCUCCCAGGGACAGGGAAACCAUGCAGCUGUCCCAAGCCCCGGGGAGCUUCCACACAGGAGGCUCCACCCAACCACAGCUCCCCUCAGGGCUGAAUCAGCUCCCUUUUGUGGCUGCAAGCAGGCACAGCCAGCGGAGCCCGGAUGUCUGAAUCUUCCUGGAACCCUCUGUGGCUCUGGUAGAAGGAGAAAGCAUUUUCCACGGGAAAGGCCACGGGGAGGAACUGCUUCUUUUCCAGGGCGUCGUAGGAGUAUUUGAUCUUCUGGAAUUCGAAGGACAGCACCUCCUGCCCGUCUUCACCCUGCGGGGGAAGUCUUCCGCUGUACCAACCAAAGCCAUCAAUCCCAGAAGUUCCAGCUUUUCCCUGGGAUAAGUCUUACUGAGGAGAGAAUGAGGACUCAAUGCACAUUCCCAGCCAGAGAGAAGGACAGCCUCUCUCUCCUUCCUGCAGCCCUGAUGCUGUCCCCUGGCCCUCUUCUUGAGGCCAAUCCAUGCCUGGGAUUAGGACAGAGGCUCGUUGGAAGCAUACCUCAAUGCCUCAGGUUCCAAACUUGGUAUCAUCUGUAUCAAGUGAUGCAGUCACUAAAUGUCAACUGCCGACUGUGGCCCAGGCUGUGUAUCACUGUCACCACCUUCUGUGGUAGCACUCAUUCACUCAGAAGCCCGACUGUGGGUCACAUGCACUGCUUGGUGCUGUACUCUGAUCUGUUCUCACUAUCACCACGCUUGUCUUACAGAAGGAGAGGCCAAGUUGUUAAGUCGCUUACAAAUAGCUCCUGCUCAUCUUAAACACAAAGAUUACCCACAGUUUGUGCCCCUUUUGGUGUACCAUGGAAUGGAGGCUGAGCACUGGACAGCAGCACUUGGUUCUAGGACCAGAUUUCAUAGGUGGGGGAAUCCAUCCCACAUGGCUGCCUCACACUUUGCAAACGAAGGCAGGAGACAGUGGGAGGGAGGGCAGUGCCGUUUCCAAGGAAACGACAGAGAACCGGCGGCUAAGGAGUCAGCAUUACCGUGUCCUAUCAGCAACCCAGGCUGGGCCCUGUGAAAGCCUUCUGCAGAUAUUAGCUUAGUGACCCUAAAUGACCACACCAGGAAGGAAUUCCAGAGAUAGGAAGUACAGUAACUCACAUCAUGGUCGCACACAAAUCAGCAGCGGCGUCAGGACUGAGCCUGAGCUCAAAGGCAGAGGCCGCCGCUGGGGACCCAGGCCUAGCGGACGUGAGGCUCCGGACCGACUGGGGACCUGCGGCGAGGCCGUAUGGUGCCAGGGGUCGGGCUCGUGAGCGCGCACUUACCGGGGUGCAGGUGAGCGCGCAGUGCGCGUGCACAGACCAGUGCCCCGAGAGAACGGUGAGCACGUGCGCGAGGCAGAUGGUGGCGAGUACCAGUAGCGCGGCCUCGGGAAUUUGAGCCCAGCUGCUGCCCCAACCCCAGCAGCCGGCAGCCGCAGCUCCCAGCCAGGCCGGGUAGAGAAGCCCCGCGAACGGCAGCACGGUGAGGCGCCGCAGAAGCGCCAGCCGCCGAUAUGGCCACACAGCGGCCACCAGCUCAUCGCCGCUCGUUAUGAGCGCCGGCCCGGCGGCAAGGAGCGCACGCGGCUGCAGCGUGGGUCUGGGCUGACCCCCGGGCCGGGCCCCGCAAGGCCGGACCCCACCGGGUACCGCGUUGCCCACCACCGCCAUUUUUCCC
rnacentral:lncRNA from 1 species